rnacentral:rRNA from 1 species
AUGCUCCCAUUAUAUGAGAAGCACAAGAAGUUGCAUGCGGCAGAAGUGAAGAAUGUUCUGACAUCCUUCGGCCAGAUAAUGCAGUCAAUUUUCUGCAAGCGUGUAGCACGUAUUUUGGUUGAAGCAAACUCCAUUGCUGCAACUUCCAAGGCACAGGUGUCUGAAAGUGUUACUUUUGAUGUUCCAACAAGCAAUGCAGCAAGAGCAUGUGACACCAGGGCUCCACCCCAAACUAGCCCUAUAGUUCACAUGGGUGCCACAGCACAAGAAGCCGAGAUUGAGAUGGAAGCUGCAGGUUGUCCCGACACCAACCAGAAUGGACAUGAUCAGGACAUUUUUUUGGAUAAAAUGCAGUGUUGCGAUAAAGUUGGGAAGGAAGAUGCAGAGUUUGUUCAGGAUAAGGGGGACCAGGAGGAGGUGGUAGCCCCUGAAUACGUGGCGGGAGAUGCAAAAGUCCCAUGUGUUACUGAUGAAGCUUGGCGGGUGAUUUUAUCACAAGGUACCGUGGCUGCAUUGGAUUCACUUGCGUUAGAAUUUGAUGAUGGUCCUUCAUGUAGUCUGUUCAAAGAGGGAACCGAAGACUUCGAGUGGUUCAACAUGGAUCCUGAGACUGCAAGGAAGGUUAUGGAAGAGAAAAAGGAAAAGGAAAUUAAUGGCGUCGCCUCUCCUGAUGUUCAACAACCGCUUUCAGCAGGGCCCACCUUAGACAACAGUCCAGUGCUUGCAAGGCAGAGCAGCGGCUCAAAGCUUCCAGUGCAAUAUGAAGCACCAUCCCCAUGCUUCGACACUGAUCCGAAGCUUCAAAAGUCAUGUGAAACCCGGCCACCUAUAUAUGAUGCAUCUCCAAUUGCAUUCACAGCUCCAGUUGUAUCUUCAGUGCAACAAGAUCGUUUUGAAGCUGAGUUGCAUGAGCCAGGGGAGAAGAUUGUCGAGGCUAACAGUGGGAGCAGUGCUCAUGUGAAGAAGGCGGUUAAGAAAAGAACGGCCCAGCCUCCUGAUGGUGUUCCAAAGAUGAAGAGGAUCAAGAUCGACCGAAAAGAUGAUGCUCUGUACCAGCAGUAUGUGAUGAGUAGGUACAAAAUACCAAGAGCAAAGAAAGAUCUAGUAAUCCCUGAUUUCAUUGAAAUAGAGGGCUUCCACACAUCACUUCAGAACUUCCAUGCUUCAUUAAAGCCACGAGCUGAUCUUGACAGCGAGGUAAUGACACUGUAUCUGAAAACUUUCAACUUGGAGCAAUUGUACAACAAGAAGAAGCCGAAGAAGUUUGCAUUCUCAGUGUUUAUGGGGAGUCAAUUGGCUAUGGAUCCUGACUUGUUUGAUCACAAGAAUUGUGAAAGAGAGUUCAGAAAGGCAUGUGAAAAUAACCAUAUUUCAAAAAGCGAUCUAAAUAAGCAUUGGGCGGUGGUUGUUGUGAACUUGUUGCACAAGCAAUUCAAUGUUUUUGACUCGGUCAAGAACGCCACGGAUGUUAACUUGCUCCAUAAGGCAACCAACAAUGUGAUUGCCAACAUAAAGAAAGUUGCAAGCAAAGAAUCUUCAUUUCAUUUUGAUCUUGAUUUGUUUGAGAAGGUCACCCCAGAUCACCCGAAGCAAUUAACGCAUUAUAAUUGUGGCUUCUAUGCAAUUCUUUUCUUGUAA